rnacentral:rRNA from 1 species
AGAGUGAACGCUGGCGGUAGGCCUAACACAUGCAAGUCGAACGGCAGCACAGUGGUAGCAAUACCAUGGGUGGCGAGUGGCGGACGGGUGAGGAAUACAUCGGAAUCUACCUUUUCGUGGGGGGGUAACGUAGGGAAACUUACGCUAAUACCGCAUACGCCCUUCGGGGGAAAGCCGGGGAUCGCAAGACCUGGCGCGGAUAGAUGAGCCGAUGUCGGAUUAGCUAGUUGGUGAGGUAAUGGCUCACCAAGGCGACGAUCCGUAGCUGGUCUGAGAGGAUGAUCAGCCACACUGGAACUGAGACACGGUCCAGACUCCUACGGGAGCAGCAGUGGGAAUAGUUGGACAAUGGGACGCAAGCCUGAUCCAGCCAUACCGCGUGGGUGAAGAAGGCCUUCGGUUGUAAACGUCCCUUUUGUUAGGGAAAGAAAAGCAAUCGGUUAAUACCCGGUUGU